UACGUAGGGGGGCUAGCGUUGUCCGGAAUCAUUGGGCGUAAAGCGCGUGUAGGCGGUCCGGUAAGUCCGCUGUGAAAGUCGGGGGGCUCAACCCUCGGAUGCCGGUGGAUACUGUCGGGCUUGAGUACGGAAGAGGCGAGUGGAAUUCCUGGUGUAGCGGUGAAAUGCGCAGAUAUCAGGAGGAACACCAAUUGCGAAGGCAGCUCGCUGGGACGUUACUGACGCUGAGACGCGAAAGCGUGGGGAGCGAGCCGG
rnacentral:rRNA from 1 species